rnacentral:rRNA from 1 species
GAUGAACGCUAGCUACAGGCUUAACACAUGCAAGUCGAGGGUAAACGAUAGAGAAAGCUUGCUUUUUCUAGGCGUCGACCGGCGCACGGGUGAGUAACGCGUAUCCAACCUGCCCACCACUUGGGGAUAACCUUGCGAAAGUAAGACUAAUACCCAAUGACAUCUCUAGAAGACAUCUGAAGGAGAUUAAAGAUUUAUCGGUGAUGGAUGGGGAUGCGUCUGAUUAGCUUGUUGGCGGGGUAACGGCCCACCAAGGCGACGAUCAGUAGGGGUUCUGAGAGGAAGGUCCCCCACAUUGGAACUGAGACACGGUCCAAACUCCUACGGGAGGCAGCAGUGAGGAAUAUUGGUCAAUGGGCGAGAGCCUGAACCAGCCAAGUAGCGUGCAGGAUGACGGCCCUAUGGGUUGUAAACUGCUCUUAUAAGGGAACAAAGUGAGCCUCGUGAGGCUUUUUGCAUGUACCUUAUGAAUAAGGACCGGCUAAUUCCGUGCCAGCAGCCGCGGUAA